GGAGCCUUCUGCUAUGUAUCUAUGCCUUUUGGGCUCAAGAGUUCCCAGGCGACUGACCAACGGUGUGUGCAAAAUUGCCUUCACAAUCAGAUUGGGCGCAAUGUUCACGCUUAUGUAGAUGACAUUGUGGUGAAGUCCAGGAAGAAGGAGACCCUGAUUGAUGAUUUGAAGGAGACGUUUGACAAUCUCCAGGUUUACAAGAUGAUGCUUAACCCGGCCAAGUGUGUUUUUGGUGUACCAGCAGGCAUGCUAUUGGGCUUUCUGGUUUCUAACAGAGGCAUUGUAGCUAACCCGAAGAAGAUCAAAGCCAUUACUUCAUUGGCUAAGUCGGCGUGUGUUAAUGAUGUUCAGCGUCUGGCGGGUCGUAUUGCGGCUCUGAGCCGGUUCAUAAGCCGGCUGGGUGAGAAGGCUAUUCCUCUUUAUCAGAUGAUGAAGAAGACAUAUCACUUUGUUUGGAGUGAUGCUGCUAAUCAAGCGUUUGAGGAUCUGAAGCAACAGUUGGCUGAGCCGCCCGUGCUUGCUGCCCCUAUUGAUAAAGAGCCUCUGUUGUUAUAUGUGGCUGCUAAUAGCCGGGCCAUCAGUGUAGCCAUUGUGGUGGAAAGGAAAGAGGCAGGCAAGGAGUACCCGGUUCAACGGCUGGUUUAUUAUAUCAGUGAGGUGCUUAUUGAAUCUGAGCAGAGAUAUCCACACUGGCAGAAGCUUGUGUAUGGGGUUUUC
rnacentral:rRNA from 1 species